rnacentral:rRNA from 1 species
GCGUGGGGGGCACACAGGAUUUGAUAUCCCGUUAGUCCACCCCGUAAACGAUGAAUGUUAUCCGUCAGGCAGCAUAAUGUUCGGUGGUGCAGCUAACGCCUCAAACAACCUGCCUGGGGAGUACGGUCGCAAGAUUAAAACUCAACGGAAUUGACGGGCGCCCGCACAACCGGUGGAGCAUCUGGUUUAAUUCGAAGCAACGAGCAGAACCUCACCAGCUCUUGACAUUCGGGGUAUGGGCAUUGGAGACGAUGUCCUUCAGUUAGGCUGGCCCCAGAACAGGUGCUGCAUGGCUGUCGUCAGCUCCUGUCGUGAGAUGUUGGGUUAAGUCCCGCAACGAGCGCAACCCUCGCCCUUAGUUGCCAGCAUUUAGUUGGGCACUCUAAGGGGACUGCCGGUGAUAAGCCGAGAGGAAGGUGGGGAUGACGUCAAGUCCUCAUGGCCCUUACGGGCUGGGCUACACACGUGCUACAAUGGUGGUGACAGUGGGCAGCGAGACAGCGAUGUCGAGCUAAUCUCCAAAAGCCAUCUCAGUUCGGAUUGCACUCUGCAACUCGAGUGCAUGAAGUUGGAAUCGCUAGUAAUCGCAGAUCAGCAUGCUGCGGUGAAUACGUUCCCGGGCCUUGUACACACCGCCCGUCACACCAUGGGAGUUGGUUUUACC